rnacentral:rRNA from 1 species
GAUGAACGCUGGCGGCGUGCCUAAUACAUGCAAGUCGAGCGAACGGACGAGAAGCUUGCUUCUCUGAUGUUAGCGGCGGACGGGUGAGUAACACGUGGAUAACCUACCUAUAAGACUGGGAUAACUUCGGGACACCGGAGCUAAUACCGGAUAAUAUUUUGAACCGCAUGGUUCAAAAGUGAAAGACGGUCUUGCUGUCACUUAUAGAUGGAUCCGCGCCGCAUUAGCUAGUUGGUAAGGUAACGGCUUACCAAGGCAACGAUGCAUAGCCGACCUGAGAGGGUGAUCGGCCACACUGGAACUGAGACACGGUCCAGACUCCUACGGGAGGCAGCAGUAGGGAAUCUUCCGCAAUGGGCGAAAGCCUGACGGAGCAACGCCGCGUGAGUGAUGAAGGUCUUCGGAUCGUAAAACUCUGUUAUUAGGGAAGAACAUAUGUGUAAGUAACUGUGCACAUCUUGACGGUACCUAAUCAGAAAGCCACGGCUAACUACGUG